CACAACUUUGAUAUACCACGGACACCGCUAUUUAGUAAACAAAAUUCUUGCUAAAUUUUGUUUGUUUUAACAUGUAAUUUUGCUGAAAAUGACGAAGUUGCGUGUACAACAAUACAUGGACAAACACAAACUAACACCGCUUUUUGAGGACUUGAUGAACAGAGUGCUACAUGAGCAGCCUGAGGAUCCGAUUGUUUAUCUCAUCAAAUGUCUCUACAAGAAAGCUGCCAUUCCAGUUCCAAAGGAUCUAAAGACAAGCCCAGUGAGGAAAAGUUCUCCUGAAAGAUUAGCCAGAAGAAGCAAAAGUCCUGAGAAAGGAGCCACACAAGCAUGGGCUGUUGCAAGUGGACCAGAUUUGGUAGACCGAUCUUACGACAAACCAUGGUUAAAACACAGAAAGAAGGUCAGGUCAAAAGAUGAGGAGCGAUCUGAUUCAAGACAAGGAAUUCAGGGAGAAAAACUUGAGUGUGCUCUCCAGAUAUCAAAGAAAGUUUUAUGGCCAAGGACAGGAAAGAAACAGCAGAAAUCUGGCUGGGUGUCUGAUACUAAGGUGACGGCAACAAGUUUUGAUGAGCUGUUUGAAGAGGAUGCACAUGCUGGUUCCAGGCAUACAGAAAAUGCAGGAGCCAGACAGAAAAAUGAGGAAGGCACAACCAUAACUAAAGCAUGGGCUCGGCAUGUGGGUUUAGAUGAUAGUGAAGACCCAAAUUACAGAAGUCGAGGAUAUUCUGGUCCACGUUGCCAUAGAAAUGAGGAAGAUCCACUGGAAGGGGAGAUAAUGCUGGCCAAGGAGGAAUCUACUGUUGAGAGUGCUGUUAGCACUUCAAAGCCAAAGGGAGCUAAGCUUGAGGCUAAGAGACAUAGACAAGAUCUGGAGAAGUUGUUACAAGAGUCAGAUAAAGUAUCUGUGGAUUCAGGAUUUGAUGGGGGUAGAAUGGAUGACGAACAAGAUGAUGCAAUAGAAUUACUGGAGGACCCAGAAGACCUGUUGAGAGAAGGUGUAACAAACAUUCCAAAAUCUGGAUAUAAAUUGAGCAGAAUUCUACGACAAAGACAAGAAGAAGCAAAUGUUAAAUUAAAUAUCAAUCUUUUUACUGGUACUGCCUCGCCUGAUUCUGACUAUGCAUUAACAGGGAACCAGUAUGGAGACUACUAUGAGUCCGACCUGGAGAGGCCUCCUACAGGGAUGUCAUUUCAAUCUAACAGAUAUUCUGAUUUAUCACCAGAUGUCACUGACGAUGAGUUUGAAAGUGUAUCUCAAGUCGUUGGUCCUAGACAGCCAGUAUGGAGUGUUCCAGAUUCUGACGGAGAGACAUACAGGGUAGAACCAAACAGGAAAACCAGACAGGCAAAAUUCAGUGCGACGGCCCCUGUACGGUUUGAUGAUAAACCACCAUUUCCUAGGAAAUCCAUGGACAGUGAAAAUAUAUUUUUAGAUGGCAAUAAAACCUGGACACCAGGGCAGGACAGAACAGAGAGAGAAAAGCCCCGGUCAGGUUCCCCUGUAAAUGUACGAGAUUCUGUCAGAGACUCUGUGAGAUCUCUGAGAUCACAAGAAGGAGGUGGUUGGAACAUUCCAGAUGAUACUGAGGUUUCCUUAGCAACAGAAUGGUCAGAACCUAAGACAAGUGGUAGAGCCUCUCCAGGGCCUCCUAAAGCCUACUGAACAGAGAAGAACAGAAUCUACCUGUAUCAAUAUGCCGUCCAUUAUUUAUUGCUUAAUUCUACAUACACAACUCUUGUAUUCUACAUAUCAAAUGCAAGUCUUGUAUUCUACAUGUCAAUUGCAAGUCUUGUAUUCUACAUGUCAGUUGCAAGUCUUGUAUUCUACAUGUCACAUGUUACAUGUUUGUUGCCAAGUGGGAACACCUCUAGUAGGAAUAUAACAUGCUUGGUCAAAUAUUUCCAUUCAUGGUUUUCAAGAAGAUGGUGAAAAUACAAUAUUCCUUGCUGUUGAAUAAAUUUCUAAUGGCUUAAAUGCUAUAUCUCAUUUUGAACUGUGGUUCUGUUAAAAAAUUCAAAAUGUACAAGAAAACAGUUUUUGCACAGUUUACAUACAUGUGAUUAUGUUGGUAAAAAAAAAAAUGAAUUAGUAUUUUCUAAAGUUUUAGAUUUAUUUAUCAGUACACUGGAGCAUAGAUUUGCUUCAGGUGAGUGACUUUGUCAUUACCUUUUUAUAAGUCAUGUUGACGAUCUAGAAUUAUCCUGACGAUUGUUUACAAGUUGAGUUGUACACAUAUCAGUCUUUAUUAUGAAGUAGUUGCUUAUAUUUAUAUAAAUUUUCUUAUAUUACUUUACAUGUUUUACAUGUCUAGAAAUUAAAUUAUUUUAUGAUGA